rnacentral:rRNA from 1 species
GAUCAUGGCUCAGGAUAAACGCUGGCGGCGCACAUAAGACAUGCAAGUCGAACGGACUUAACCAUUAGUUUACUAUUGGAGCGGUUAGUGGCGGACUGGUGAGUAACACGUAAGCAACCUGCCUAUCAGAGGGGAACAACAGUUAGAAAUGACUGCUAAUACCGCAUAUACCCAAGUGUCACAUGGCACAAUGGGGAAAGGAGCAAUCCGCUGAUAGAUGGGCUUGCGU